rnacentral:rRNA from 1 species
AGUGAACGCUGGCGGUAUGCCUAACACAUGCAAGUCGAACGGCAGCACAGUAAGAUCUUGCUCUUACGGGUGGCGAGUGGCGGACGGGUGAGGAAUACAUCGGAAUCUACUUUUUCGUGGGGGAUAACGUAGGGAAACUUACGCUAAUACCGCAUAUGACCUACGGGUGAAAGCAGGGGAUCUUCGGACCUUUCGCGAUUGAAUGAGCCGAUGUCGGAUUAGCUAGUUGGCGGGGUAAAGGCCCACCAAGGCGACGAUCCGUAGCUGGUCUGAGAGGAUGAUCAGCCACACUGGAACUGAGACACGGUCCAGACUCCUACGGGAGGCAGCAGUGGGGAAUAUUGGACAAUGGGCGAAAGCCUGAUCCAGCCAUACCGCGUGGGUGAAGAAGGCCUUCGGGUUGUAAAGCCCUUUUGUUGGGAAAGAAAAGCAGCAGGUUAAUACCCCGCUGUUCUGACGGUACCCAAAGAAUAAGCACCGGCUAACUUCGUG